AAAGCCCAGUCUCAAAACAGAGACGGACGGGCUGCUUGCAGCCCAGGACGGCUGUGUUUUCGAGACGCUAAUCCAUAUGAGCAAGAAGGCUGGUAGGCCGGAUUGCGAAUAUGGAUAGGAUUGCGGGAGCGCAGAGCGCGGAGCAAUCCGUGGGCUUU
rfam:Blautia sp. An46 An46_contig_9, whole genome shotgun sequence.